rnacentral:lncRNA from 1 species
GCGUCUUGGCGCCCCGACCUUCGGGGGCUGAUUUUUGGGCACGGCUGUGCCCGUGGCCUAAUUUUGGCACACGGAGGACGCCCGCAAAGUCUGGGGCCAUUCCGAGUCCGGCGGACGAACUUCGCCCACGCCCCCCACCAAGGCUAUAGCCCACCCGUUUUUUGGCCAUUUUUCCGCUGGGGGGUCUUGGCGCCCCGACCUUCGGGGGCUGAUUUUUGGGCGCGGCUGUGCCCGUGGCCUAAUUUUGGCACACGGAGGCCGCCCGCAAAGUCUGGGGCCAUUCCGAGUCCGCGCGGACGAACUUCGCCCACGCCCCCCACCAAGGCUAUAGCCCACCCGUUUUUUGGCCAUUUUUCCGUUGGGGGGUCUUGGCACCCCGACCAUCGGGGGCUGAUUUUUGGGCGCAGCUGUGCCCGUGGCGUAUUUGUGGCACACGGAGGCCGCCCGCAAAGUCUGGGGCCAUUCCGAGUCCGGCGGACGAACUUCGCCCACGCCCCCCACCAAGGCUAUAGCCCACCCGUUUUUUGGCCAUUUUUCCGCUGGGGGGUCUUGGCACCCCGACCGUCGGGGGCUGAUUUUUUGGCGCGGGUGUGCCCGUUGCCUAAUAUUGGCAAACGGAGGCCGCCCGCAAAGUCUGGGGCCAUUCCGAGUCCGGCGGACGAACUUCGCCCACGCCCCCCACCAAGGCUAUAGCCCACCCGUUUUUUGGCCAUUUUUCCGCUGGGGGGUCUUGGCGCCCCGACCUUCGGGGGCUGAUUUUUGGGCACGGCUGUGCCCGUGGCCUAAUUUUGGCACACGGAGGACGCCCGCAAAGUCUGGGGCCAU